AGUGAACGCUGGCGGUAGGCCUAACACAUGCAAGUCGAACGGCAGCACAGUAAGAGCUUGCUCUUACGGGUGGCGAGUGGCGGACGGGUGAGGAAUACAUCGGAAUCUACUUUUUCGUGGGGGAUAACGUAGGGAAACUUACGCUAAUACCGCAUACGACCUACGGGUGAAAGCAGGGGAUCUUCGGACCUUGCGCGAUUGAAUGAGCUGAUGUCGGAUUAGCUAGUUGGCGGGGUAAAGGCCCACCAAGGCGACGAUCCGUAGCUGGUCUGAGAGGAUGAUCAGCCACACUGGAACUGAGACACGGUCCAGACUCCUACGGGAGGCAGCAGUGGGGAAUAUUGGACAAUGGGCGCAAGCCUGAUCCAGCCAUACCGCGUGGGUGAAGAAGGCCUUCGGGUUGUAAAGCCCUUUUGUUGGGAAAGAAAAGCAGCAGGUUAAUACCCCGCUGUUCUGACGGUACCCAAAGAAUAAGCGCCGGCUAACUUCGUG
rnacentral:rRNA from 1 species